rnacentral:rRNA from 1 species
GACGAACGCUGGCGGCGUGCUUAACACAUGCAAGUCGAACGGAAAGGCCCUGCUUUUGUGGGGUGCUCGAGUGGCGAACGGGUGAGUAACACGUGAGUAACCUGCCCUUGACUUUGGGAUAACUUCAGGAAACUGGGGCUAAUACUGGAUAGGAGCUCCUGCUGCAUGGUGGGGGUUGGAAAGUUUCGGCGGUUGGGGAUGGACUCGCGGCUUAUCAGCUUGUUGGUGGGGUAGUGGCUUACCAAGGCUUUGACGGGUAGCCGGCCUGAGAGGGUGACCGGCCACAUUGGGACUGAGAUACGGCCCAGACUCCUACGGGAGGCAGGAGUGGGGAAUAUUGCACAAUGGGCGGAAGCCUGAUGCAGCAACGCCGCGUGCGGGAGGACGGCCUUCGGGUUGUAAACCGCUUUCGCCUGUGACGAAGCGUGAGUGACGGGAAUGGGUAAAGAAGCACCGGCUAACUACGG